UAGUAGCUCAGUCAGUAGAGCAUGAGACUCUUAAUCUCAGGGCUGUGGGUUCAAGCCCCACGUUGCACAA